rnacentral:rRNA from 1 species
UACGUAGGGGGCUAGCGUUGCUCGGAAUGACUGGGCGUAAAGGGCGCGUAGGCGGUUUGGACAGUCAGAUGUGAAAUUCCUGGGCUCAACCUGGGGGCUGCAUUUGAUACGUUCGGACUAGAGUGGGGAAGAGGGUCGUGGAAUUCCCAGUGUAGAGGUGAAAUUCGUAGAUAUUGGGAAGAACACCGGUGGCGAAGGCGGCGACCUGGUCCUUGACUGACGCUGAGGCGCGAAAGCGUGGGGAGCAAACAGG